CAUGUACUCCCUCCGUCCAGAAUUACUUGCCGUUAGAAUGGAAAGAAAUGGAUGUAUCUUGAUCUAAAAUACGUCUAGAUACGUUCAUUUCUAUGACAAGUAAUUCCAGUCGGAGGGUGUACUAU
rfam:Hordeum vulgare subsp. vulgare, WGS project CAJW01000000 data, contig: morex_contig_1707465